AAAAUCAAAGAGCUGAAUAGCUCUGAGGGGAAAGACAGCCCUUGUCUCUUUUUUUGGGGGGGGGGGGGCGGUAUCUUUUGAUAGUCUUCAUAUAAAGAAUGAAAAAAAGAACAGCUAGAACAUGUAGAAAGGUUGACAAUAUUGAAGUCAAUUGUUGUUGUUUAAUCUAAUUUUGUUUCCUUAGUUAAGGAUUCAAUUUGGACCAAGAGAUCUGCAUCUUCUAAAUCUAAACAUUCGAUUAAAGUUGAUAGUUAAUU
rnacentral:lncRNA from 1 species